CCUGAGGAAGCGUUUUGCCUACGUGGACAGAAAUCGCUCUCUUAAAGGCGCGCUUUAUGUCCGAGUAGGCAAAACGCUUCCUCAGGG
rfam:Gossypium raimondii Chr09_contig_38, whole genome shotgun sequence.